UACGUAGGGUGCAAGCGUUGUCCGGAAUUAUUGGGCGUAAAAGAGCUCGUGAGCGGUCUGUCGCGUCGGCUGUGAAAACCCGGGGCUCAACCCCGGGCCUGCAGUCGAUACGGGCAGACUAGAGUGUGGUAGGGGAGACUGGAAUUCCUGGUGUAGCGGUGAAAUGCGCAGAUAUCGGGAAGAACACCCGUGGCGAAGGCGGCUCUCUGGGACGGUACUGACGCUGAGACGCGAAAGCGUGGGGAGCGAACAGG
rnacentral:rRNA from 1 species